rnacentral:rRNA from 1 species
AUUGAACGCUGGCGGCAUGCCUUACACAUGCAAGUCGAACGGUAACAGGUCUUCGGAUGCUGACGAGUGGCGAACGGGUCAGUAAUACAUCGGAACGCGCCUAGUAGUGGGGGAUAACUACUCGAAAGAGUGGCUAAUACCGCAUGAGAUCUACGGAUGAAAGCAGGGGAUCGCAAGACCUUGUGCUACUAGAGCGGCCGAUGGCAGAUUAGGUAGUUGGUGGGAUAAAAGCUUACCAAGCCGACGAUCUGUAGCUGGUCUGAGAGGACGAUCAGCCACACUGGGACUGAGACACGGCCCAGACUCCUACGGGAGGCAGCAGUGGGGAAUUUUGGACAAUGGGCGCAAGCCUGAUCCAGCAAUGCCGCGUGCAGGAUGAAGGCCUUCGGGUUGUAAACUGCUUUUGUACGGAACGAAAAGCCCUGGGUUAAUACCCUGGGGUCAUGACGGUACCGUAAGAAUAAGCACCGGCUAACUACGUGCCAGCCGCCGCAGUAAAAC